rnacentral:tRNA from 1 species
GGAGGAUGUAGCGCAGAGGUCGUCGCGCCUCCCUGCGAAGGAGGAGGACACCGGUUCGAUCCCGGUCCCCUCCA